rnacentral:rRNA from 1 species
UACGUAGGGUGCGAGCGUUGUCCGGAAUUAUUGGGCGUAAAGAGCUUGUAGGCGGUCUGUCGCGUCUGCUUUGAAAAUCCGGGGCUCAACCCCGGACUUGCAGUGGGUACGGGCAGACUAGAGUGUGGUAGGGGAGACUGGAAUUCCUGGUGUAGCGGUGAAAUGCGCAGAUAUCAGGAGGAACACCGAUGGCGAAGGCAGGUCUCUGGGCCACUACUGACGCUGAGAAGCGAAAGCAUGGGGAGCGAACAGG